GACGCCUACGGGGGGCAGCAGUGGGGAAUAUUGCACAAUGGGGGAAACCCUGAUGCAGCGACGCCGCGUGAAGGAAGAAGUAUCUCGGUAUGUAAACUUCUAUCAGCAGGGAAGAAAAUGACGGUACCUGACUAAGAAGCUCCGGCUAAAUACGUGCCAGCAGCCGCGGUAAUACGUAUGGAGCAAGCGUUAUCCGGAUUUACUGGGUGUAAAGGGAGCGCAGGCGGCAUGGCAAGUCAGGAGUGAAAGCCCGGGGCCCAACCCCGGGACUGCUCUUGGAACUGCAUGGCUGGAGUACAGGAGGG
rnacentral:rRNA from 1 species